rnacentral:rRNA from 1 species
GACGAACGCUGGCGGCGUGCUUAACACAUGCAAGUCGAACGGAAAGGCCCUGCUUGCCGGGUGCUCGAGUGGCGAACGGGUGAGUAACACGUGGGUGAUCUGCCCCUUACUUUGGGAUAAGCCUUGGAAACUGGGUCUAAUACUGGAUAGGAGCAUGCUGUAGGUGGUGUGGUGGAAAGAUUAGUUUCGGUAAGGGGUGAGCUCGCGGCCGAUCAGCUUGUUGGUGGGGUAAUGGCCGACCAAGGCGUCGACGGGGGGCCGGCCGGAGAGGGUGGACGGCGACAUUGGGAGUGAGAUACGACCCAGACUCCUACUGGGGGCGGCAGUGGGGAGGAUUGUACAAUAGGGGCAAGCCUGAUGCAGCGACGCCGCGUGGGGGGGGACGGCGUUCUUGGUGUAAACUCCUUUCAGCCAUGGCGAAGACCUUGUGGUGACGGUAAUGGGAGAAGAAGCACCGGCUAACUACGUG